rnacentral:rRNA from 1 species
GAUGAACGCUGGCGGCGUGCUUAACACAUGCAAGUCGAACGAUGAAGCCCAGCUUGCUGGGUGGAUUAGUGGCGAACGGGUGAGUAACACGUGAGUAACCUGCCCUUAACUCUGGGAUAAGCCUGGGAAACUGGGUCUAAUACCGGAUAGGAGCGCCUACCGCAUGGUGGGUGUUGGAAAGAUUUAUCGGUUUUGGAUGGACUCGCGGCCUAUCAGCUUGUUGGUGAGGUAAUGGCUCACCAAGGCGACGACGGGUAGCCGGCCUAAGAGGGUGACCGGCCACACUGGGACUGAGACACGGCCCAGACUCCUACGGGAGGCAGCAGUGGGGAAUAUUGCACAAUGGGCGAAAGCCUGAUGCAGCGACGCCGCGUGAGGGAUGACGGCCUUCGGGUUGUAAACCUCUUUCAGUAGGGAAGAAGCGAAAGUGACGGUACCUGCAGAAGAAGCACCGGCUAACUACGUG